CAACCAUCAAGCCCCCGGGCUUGUGUUGGGGACCUGCGUCCGACCGCAGGCCCCGAAAACCAGUGGCGGGCUCGCUGUCCACACCGAGCGUAGUAGACAACCUCGCUGCGGAGUGGCGCGGGCGCCUGCCGUAAAAACCCCCACUUACCCAA
rnacentral:misc_RNA from 1 species